UACAGAGGUCUCAAGCGUUGUUCGGAUUCACUGGGCGUAAAGGGUGCGUAGGUGGCGGGGUAAGUUUGAUGUGAAAGCUCCGAGCUCAACUCGGAAAUGGCAUUGAAUACUAUUCUGCUCGAGGGUUGGAGGGGGGACUGGAAUUCUCGGUGUAGCAGUGAAAUGCGUAGAUAUCGAGAGGAACACCAGUGGCGAAGGCGAGUCCCUGGACAACUCCUGACACUGAGGCACGAAAGCUAGUGGAGCAAACAGG
rnacentral:rRNA from 1 species